GCGCAGCUGACCAGCAUGUCGCGUGCAGGAAGAAGGCUUCGGGUUGUAUACUGCUUUUGUCAGAGAAGAAAUCCUCUGGGUUAAUACCUCGGGGGGAUGACGGUACCUGAAGAAUAAGCACCGGCUAACUACGUGCCAGCAGCCGCGGUAAUACGUAGGGUGCGAGCGUUAAUCGGAAUUACUGGGCGUAAAGCGUGCGCAGGCGGUUUUGUAAGACAGAGGUGAAAUCCCCGGGCUCAACCUGGGAACUGCCUUUGUGACUGCAAGGCUGGAGUACGGCAGAGGGGGAUGGAAUUCCGCGUGUAGCAGUGAAAUGCGUAGAUAUGCGGAGGAACACCGAUGGCGAAGGCAAUCCCCUGUGCCUGUAUUGACGCUCAUGCACGAAAGCGUGGGGAGCAAACAGGAUUAGAUACCCUGGAUAGUCCACGCCCUAAACGAUGUCAACUGGUUGUUGGACGGCUUGCUGUUCAGUAACGAAGCUAACGCGUGAAGUUGACCGCCUGGGGAGUACGGACGCAAAGGUUGAAACUCAAAGGAAUUGACAGGGACCCGCACAAAGCGGUGGAUGAUGUGGUUAAUUCG
rnacentral:rRNA from 1 species